CCCCUAGAUGUUCUGGGCCGCACGCGCGCUACACUGAACAGUUCAACAAGUCUUAACCUUGGCCGAUAGGUCUGGGUAAUCUUUGAACGCUGUUCGUGAUUGGGAUAGACCUUUGCAAUUAUGGGUCUUCAACGAGGAAUUCCUAGUAAACGCAAGUCAUCAGCUUGCAUUGAUUACGUCCCUGCCCUUUGUACACACCGCCCGUCGCACCUACCGAUUGAAUGGUCCGGUGAAAUCUCGGGACGGCGGCUUGGUCGCUUGCGUCCGACUGCUGAAACUUGAUUAAACCAUAUCAUUUAGAGGAAGGUGAANUCGUANCA
rnacentral:rRNA from 1 species